CCUUCCCCCAAGCAAAUGAUACUUUCUGUCCCUGCUUGACUUUUCCUAGAGUAGUUGAAGCCAACAGAGAAUUGUUUGAAAACAGCAGUGGGGCUAGGUUUGACUGGCCUUUGAGUGUAUUUUUAUGGUAGUGGAAGGUUAUUCGUGCUCCAAACCGGCAAGAGAGGCCUGUCUCCCCUGAGGACCACAGACUACUGCAGAGUGGGAGCCCCCCUUCUUUGGCUGGGAGUCCCCCUUACGCCGCAACGAGAGGGACCCCCAGGGAGUGGACCUUCCUGACCCUUGCUGAUGGCCGCCUCCAGAGGAGGGAUGCAAAACCCAGCCUGGCUCCCCUGAGAACCGAGUUCUGCCAGACACCAACGCUCACGCCUUCCUUCCAUCGCCUGGUGAAGAAACUCUGGUUUUUAUCUUAGAGCAAUGGAGUCGGAACCGGGAUGUGGCUGCCCAGAAAGUCUCUGUGCCCCGCCCACCUUGUUGCUUCCAUUUUGAGGUCUGAAGACGUUUGGGAUGCCUGCUCCACACUCUCCUCCCCUGCCAUUUGGCUGCUACCCAGAGGAGGAGAAUGAGGAGGGAAAAAAAGAAAAAGAAAAGAACGAAUCCUUGUUAAAUGAAGUAAGAGCUGGAAGAGGAGAGAAAUGGAUCCUGUUCGAUGAGGCGGGAGCUGGAGAGGAGUGAAUUACUCUGCUGAGCAGACAGAGAAGAGUUUCAAGUUUUCGCAGCAGCUCAGGAGGAAAGGGAGAGAAGGACGCGAGGAUGCAGAUGAGUGGGGAAGAGGAAUCAGCAGAAAUUCUCCAGGGCGGGAAGAUGGAGGGGCGGGAGGAGGGCAUCUGGAAGGAUCUUCUCUGUUCCAAUCAGCACUUCCAUCUUGAGUAAA
rnacentral:lncRNA from 1 species